UGGGGAAUAUUGGACAAUGGGCGAAAGCCUGAUCCAGCCAUGCCGCGUGUGUGAAGAAGGUCUUCGGAUUGUAAAGCACUUUAAGUUGGGAGGGGCAGUAAGCGAAUACCUUGCUGUUUUGACGUUACCGACAGAAUAAGCACCGGCUAACUCUGUGCCAGCAGCCGCGGUAAUACAGAGGGUGCAAGCGUUAAUCGGAAUUACUGGGCGUAAAGCGCGCGUAGGUGGUUCGUUAAGUUGAAUGUGAAAGCCCCGGGCUCAACCUGGGAACUGCAUCCAAAACUGGCGAGCUAGAGUAGGGCAGAGGGUGGUGGAAUUUCCUGUGUAGCGGUGAAAUGCGUAGAUAUAGGAAGGAACACCAGUGGCGAAGGCGACCACCUGGGCUCAUACUGACACUGAGGUGCGAAAGCGUGGGGAGCAAACAGG
rnacentral:rRNA from 1 species